UGAUCUUGCCGGCGGCUACCGCUAUUGGAGUUCGAUUAAGCCAUGCGAGUCUUUGCAGUAAUGCAAGGCAUACGGCUCAGUAACACGUAGUCAACUUACCCUAUGGACGAGGAUAAUCUCGGGAAACUGAGCAUAAUACUCGAUAGAUCAUAAUGCCUGGAAUGGUUUAUGGUUGAAACGAUUCGUCGCCAUAGGAUAGGACCGCGGCCUAUCAGCUUGUUGGUGAGGUAAUGGCCCACCAAGGCGAUUACAGGUACGGGCUCUGAGAGGAGAAGCCCGGAGAUGGGUACUGAGACAAGGACCCAGGCCCUAUGGGGCGCAGCAGGCGAGAAAACUUUGCAAUGUGCGAAAGCACGACAAGGUUAAUCCGAGUGAUUUCUGCUAAAGAAAUCUUUUGCAAGUCAUAAAACCACUAGUGAAUAAGGGGUGGGCAAGUUCUGGUGUCAGCCGCCGCGGUAAAACCAGCACCUCAAGUGGUCAGGAGGAUUAUUGGGCCUAAAGCAUCCGUAGCCGGCUCUGUAAGUUUUCGGUUAAAUCCAUGUGCUCAACAUAUGGGCUGCCGAAAAUACUGCAUAGCUAGGGAGUGGGAGAGGUAGACGGUACUCGGUAGGAAGGGGUAAAAUCCUUUGAUCUAUCGAUGACCACCUGUGGCGAAGGCGGUCUACCAGAACACGUUCGACGGUGAGGGAUGAAAGCUGGGGGAGCAAACCGGAUUAGAUACCCGGGUAGUCCCAGCUGUAAACGAUGCAGACUCGAUGAUGCAUUGGCAUAUAGCCAGUGCAGUGUCGCAGGGAAGCCGUUAAGUCUGCCGCCUGGGAAGUACGUACGCAAGUAUGAAACUUAAAGGAAUUGGCGGGGGAGCACCACAAGGGGUGAAGCCUGCGGUUCAAUUGGAUUCAACGCCGGA
rnacentral:rRNA from 1 species